GGGUUGUGAGGUUAAGCGAAUAAGCGUACACGGUGGAUGCCUAGGCAAUCAGAGGCGAUGAAGGACGUGCUAAUCUGCGAAAAGCGUCGGUAAGGUGAUAUGAACCGUUAUACCCGACGAUAUCCGAAUGGGGAAACCCAGUAUCCAAUGGAUACUAUCAUUAACUGAAUCCAUAGGUUAAUGAGGCGAACCGGGAGAACUGAAACAUCUCAGUACCCCGAGGAAAAGAAAUCAACCGAGAUUCCCCUAGUAGCGGCGAGCGAACGGGGAGCAGCCCAGAGUCUUAAUCAAUAACAGUGUCAGGAGAACGGUCUGGAAAGUCCGGCAGUAAAGGGUGAUAGCCCCGUAUCUGAAGAUGCUGUUAUUGUGAACUCGACGAGUAGGGCGGGACACGUGUUAUCCUGUCUGAAUAUGGGGGGACCAUCCUCCAAGGCUAAAUACUCCUGAUUGACCGAUAGUGAACCAGUACCGUGAGGGAAAGGCGAAAAGAACCCCGGCGAGGGGAGUGAAAAAGAACCUGAAACCGUGUACGUACAAGCAGUAGGAGCCUCUUUAUGGGGUGACUGCGUACCUUUUGUAUAAUGGGUCAGCGACUUAUAUUCUGUAGCAAGGUUAACCGUAUAGGGGAGCCGUAGGGAAACCGAGUCUUAACUGGGCGAAUGAGUUGCAGGGUAUAGACCCGAAACCCGGUGAUCUAUCCAUGGGCAGGUUGAAGGUUGGGUAACACUAACUGGAGGACCGAACCGACUAAUGUUGAAAAAUUAGCGGAUGACUUGUGGAUGGGGGUGAAAGGCCAAUCAAACCGGGAGAUAGCUGGUUCUCCCCGAAAGCUAUUUAGGUAGCGCCUCGUGAACUCAUCUUCGGGGGUAGAGCACUGUUUCGACUAGGGGGUCAUCCCGACUUACCAACUCGAUGCAAACUGCGAAUACCGAAGAAUGUUAUCACGGGAGACACACGGCGGGUGCUAACGUCCGUCGUGAAGAGGGAAACAACCCAGACCGCCAGCUAAGGUCCCAAAGUCAUGGUUAAGUGGGAAACGAAGUGGGAAGGCUCAGACAGCCAGGAUGUUGGCUUAGAAGCAGCCAUCAUUUAAAGAAAGCGUAAUAGCUCACUGGUCGAGUCGGCCCGCGCGGAAGAUGUAACGGGGCUAAACCAUGCACCGAAGCUGCGGCAGCGACACAAAGUGUUGUUGGGUAGGGGAGCGUUCUGUAAGCCUGCGAAGGUGUACUGUGAGGUAUGCUGGAGGUAUCAGAAGUGCGAAUGCUGACAUAAGUAACGAUAAUGCGGGUGAAAAACCCGCACGCCGGAAGACCAAGGGUUCCUGUCCAACGUUAAUCGGGGCAGGGUGAGUCGACCCCUAAGGCGAGGCUGAAAAGCGUAGUCGAUGGGAAACGGGUUAAUAUUCCCGUACUGGUGGUAACUGCGAUGGGGGAACGGAGAAGGCUAGGUUGUCCGGGCGACGGUCGUCCCGGUUCAAGCAGGUAGGCAGAGUGAUUAGGCAAAUCCGGUCACUUAAUGCUGAGAUGUGAUGACGAACCACCAAGGUGGUGAAGCAAUUGAUGCCCCGCUUCCAGGAAAAGCCUCUAAGCUUCAGGUUACCAACAAUCGUACCCCAAACCGACACAGGUGGUCAGGUAGAGAAUACUCAGGCGCUUGAGAGAACUCGGGUGAAGGAACUAGGCAAAAUGGUGCCGUAACUUCGGGAGAAGGCACGCUGGCGGUAGGUAAAGUCCCUCGCGGACGGCGCUGAAGCCAGUCGAAGAUACCAGCUGGCUGCAACUGUUUAUUAAAAACACAGCACUGUGCAAACACGAAAGUGGACGUAUACGGUGUGACGCCUGCCCGGUGCUGGAAGGUUAAUUGAUGGGGUCAGCCGUAAGGCGAAGCUCCUGAUCGAAGCCCCAGUAAACGGCGGCCGUAACUAUAACGGUCCUAAGGUAGCGAAAUUCCUUGUCGGGUAAGUUCCGACCUGCACGAAUGGCGUAAUGAUGGCCAGGCUGUCUCCACCCGAGACUCAGUGAAAUUGAACUCGCUGUGAAGAUGCAGUGUACCCGCGGCAAGACGGAAAGACCCCGUGAACCUUUACUAUAGCUUGACACUGAACAUUGAGCCUUGAUGUGUAGGAUAGGUGGGAGGCUUUGAAGUGUGGACGCCAGUCUGCAUGGAGCCAACCUUGAAAUACCACCCUUUAACGUUUGAUGUUCUAACCUAGGCCCAUAAACUGGGUCGGGGACCGUGUCUGGUGGGUAGUUUGACUGGGGCGGUCUCCUCCUAAAGAGUAACGGAGGAGCACGAAGGUUGGCUAAGCAUGGUCGGACAUCAUGCGGUUAGUGCAAAGGCAUAAGCCAGCUUGACUGCGAGAGUGACGGCUCGAGCAGGUACGAAAGUAGGUCUUAGUGAUCCGGUGGUUCUGAAUGGAAGGGCCAUCGCUCAACGGAUAAAAGGUACUCCGGGGAUAACAGGCUGAUACCGCCCAAGAGUUCAUAUCGACGGCGGUGUUUGGCACCUCGAUGUCGGCUCAUCACAUCCUGGGGCUGAAGUAGGUCCCAAGGGUAUGGCUGUUCGCCAUUUAAAGUGGUACGCGAGCUGGGUUUAGAACGUCGUGAGACAGUUCGGUCCCUAUCUGCCGUGGGCGUUGGAAGAUUGAGAGGGGUUGCUCCUAGUACGAGAGGACCGGAGUGAACGCACCACUGGUGUUCGGGUUGUCAUGCCAAUGGCAUUGCCCGGUAGCUAAGUGCGGAAGAGAUAACCGCUGAAAGCAUCUAAGCGGGAAACUUGCCUCGAGAUGAGUCUUCCCUGUCGCUUUAAGCGACCUAAAGGAACGUUUAAGACUAAGACGUUGAUAGGCUGGGUGUGUAAGCGUAGCGAUACGUUGAGCUAACCAGUACUAAUGAACCGUGAGGCUUAACCUGACAACACCGAAGGUGUUU
rnacentral:rRNA from 1 species